AUUGAACGCUGGCGGCAGGCCUAACACAUGCAAGUCGAACGAGUGGCGGACGGGUGAGUAAUGUCUGGGAAACUGCCCGAUGGAGGGGGGUAACUACUGGAAACGGUAGCUAAUACCGCAUACCAUCGGAUGUGCCCAGAUGGGAGUAGCUGGUAGGUGGGGUAACGGCUCACCUAGGCGACGAUCCCUAGCUGGUCUGAGAGGAUGACCAGCCACCCUGGAACUGAGACAAGGUCCAGACUCCGACGGGAGGCAGCAGUGGGGAAUAUUGCACAAGGGGCGCAAGCCUGAUGCAGCCAUGCCGCGUGUAUGAAGAAGGCCUUCGGGUUGUAAAGUACUUUCAGCGAGGAGGCGUUACUCGCCGAAGAAGCAUCGGCUAACUCCGUGCCAGCAGCCGCGGUAAUUC
rnacentral:rRNA from 1 species